UACGUAGGGCGCAAGCGUUAUCCGGAAUUAUUGGGCGUAAAGAGCUCGUAGGCGGUUUGUCGCGUCUGCCGUGAAAGUCCGGGGCUCAACUCCGGAUCUGCGGUGGGUACGGGCAGACUAGAGUGAUGUAGGGGAGACUGGAAUUCCUGGUGUAGCGGUGAAAUGCGCAGAUAUCAGGAGGAACACCCGUGGCGAAAGCGGCUCUCUGGGACGGUACUGACGCUGAGACGCGAAAGCGUGGGGAGCAAACAGG
rnacentral:rRNA from 1 species